CUCCUUUGUCUUAAAAUCUUUAUUUUUGUUUGUGAAAUACAUAAAAUAAACAUAUUUAAAAGUACAUGGCUUUUGGAUAGCUCUUGCAAUUACUUUGCAUGAGAAAAAGCAACAUGUUUUGCUUAGAUCAUCUGGAGGGCAGGCUGUGCAAGAGACUGUACAGAGAGGAGCUCGUUACAGCCAAUAAACUGCCAUUAGGCUGCAAGUUCCUAUCUAUUCCAUAUCUCUUUUUGAGACCUUGCUAUUAAAGCAGUUUCUUAAGAUAAGAAAAUAUCUUAUUUUUGCUGAACGUCCUGUUGGUGGCAGCAGUUACAGUACAUUUAAUACCUAAGCAAAAGUAAGAGCCUGUUCCGGCCAGGUGAAGCUCCAACGAGCUGUUUAAGAGCGAGGUGAGCACGGGUGACGGUCUCUCAGAAGCUGAUGGCUCCACUGCAGCUUCAGGAGCUAAGCGCGCGCAGAAGAGAAAGGAAAGAAAGGAAAAAAAAAUCAAAACCGGUGUCACGAGAGCAUUGCAAGAUGAGAGACUGCGUGAGAAUCAGCCAAGCCGUACGGAGGGAAGAUUUAACAGCGAUCUGAAUGGACUAGAAUCAGACAAAAGACCCAGGAUAAAAGUCUGCUCCAAGUGAAGUCCAUGAGAGGUUUCCUUCGCCACCAUGGCCAGUAUUUCACCUCUGCUCUCCCAGUCGGUUUGUUCAGCUGUCUGCUGCGUCUGAUGCCAUUGGAAAUGUGAUAGCAUUGACUAGACUAAAGACCUUGACAGAGAGGGUGUUGUUCUUCAUUUCUCCUUGCUUGAACAACUCACAAAGUGUCAUGGAAAGAUCUUGGCUGACUCACUGUUGGCCAGGGUUGGCCUUGGACAUGCUCUAGCAAUAGCUGAAUAUUAACUGCAGCAGUGCAGAGGUAGCAGCAGUGCUGGCUGGGCAGUGGAAGACCUCAGGAAAAACAGCAGAUAGAAGGUUUGCUAAAUAAUUCCCUCCCUCUAGGGACAGGUCUAGUCUGUACAAUGGACCAUGAGCUAAAAAUGCCAAAACUAGCACUGGAAUUAAACACAGUAUGGUUGUACACAUCCUAAUGCAGAUUACAGGCUCAAAUGUAUCCUGUCCACGGAGCAGCACUAGCUGCUAACACACUGUACUUUACUGCAAAGUUGGACAGCACUGCUGCACUUCAAGUAACAACACGGUUUUAGUCCAAAUUGUCCUUAAACCACUAAUUUUCACUAAUUUUCACUUUUCCAUCACAGAUAUGAUCCAGUACCUAGUCUCCCUAGCCUAGGGAGGCUGGCUACAGCCUUUUGGCAGCAUCUUCAUAGGAAGUAACUCAUUAAGG
rnacentral:lncRNA from 1 species